GUACUUGAAGGAUGUUCAAAGUAUGUUCAAAGUAAUGUUUAUUUUAGUGUUUAAUAAGCUCAAAGGGUAGGAAAGGGAAUUGUAUCUUUGCUGUAGUUUUACAGAGCGAAUGUCUUCCAGGAAAUACCCAAAUCAGAAGAAAAAGCUUUGGACAGAACAUAUGUCCAAAUCUGGGAUUGAGAAGGUAUGAACAUGCUGUGCUCCUGGAAUCCUCUUGUUUGCUCUGGAACUCCUAACAUACAGGUACAGCCAACUGGUAAUUAUUAAUAGAAAUUAAUUUAGUAAUUCCUACCUUCUAAGCGGUUCAGAAGUGCUCUUAGAAGGCAGCCUGUCUCCAUGCCGGCUGCUGUGGUGGUUAAAGAGCAGAAUCUGCUGCUUUGCCCUUCCAAGGUGCUCUGUGCUCUGUCUUCUGGAGCAGCUGGUGCCUGGAGGGCUUUCAAAAGCCCUUCAAUCGUUGGAUCAGAGGUCUCUUUUGUCUGCCAUUCCUCUGUACAGAUGCCACGGUCUCCAGAGCCCUUCCCAUCCAGCAUCCCUUGUUCCCGAUGGAAUGCACCCUGUUGCCUGCAGCACCCCAACGUUUUGGCAAGAAGAGAGGGGAGACACCAAAUAUCCUAUUUUACUUCUUGUUAGAUUCCUAGGAAGAGGGAGGACGUUAAAGCACUUGACUAAAUAAAAGUCAUGGUCAUCUGUAACUUUUAUCAUUUACAAAAUGGUGGCCUCCGAUUGGGAAUGGAAAUUAAAGUUACCACCACAUUCUUUAACUCGUCCUGGAGACGUGGUGGGGUAUGAGGGGAAUUACAAAGACUCUUUUCUUUUACUGAGAAUCACACAUCCCUUUUUUAUACGUUUCUUUUUUUUCUCCCAAAGUGAGGAAGUCUGCAAAGUGCCAGGAAGUUGAGCUGAUCAUAGUACGAUGCUUAUUUAAAUAGGAUGCUCUAAAUAGAUCUGCUGUUUUGUUGCUUCAAUAUCCUACUGAGCAAAGAACUGCAAGAGACCAUUCAGAAAGACACAGAUCUAUAGCAUAAUUUUGGGAGUCAUCAUAUAGAUGCUUUCAAGGGUUUACUCACCACAGAUAAGAGGAAACACGUUGUUCAAGUGGCCGGGUGCUUCCUCCUAAGGGAGGAUCCUGGCUGUGGCAGGUGGUGUGGACGGAGCUUGGACUAGUGGGCUCAGGUGUUGACAGCUGAAGAAAAGGUGACUGGUCCCAUGAGCCCGGAAGAGUGAACUCAGAGGAGGCUGUUUACACGAGAUUCUCCCACUCACCAGCUGUUGAGAGUCUGAGGAUGAAGAGCAGGAUCGUAUUACUUCAAUGGAAGCGUGCGACCAUGUUCCCAAGCCACCAACAGCCAAGUGGAUUUGGUACAGUGGGGCUGCCUAAUAAAUGAUUCAUCAGAAGUAUUUGAUACAAAUCUGUCUUGCAGCAGUGUCUUCAAAUUUAGUGUUGCCUUCUUAUCUAGCCUCGUGUAUAAGUGAUCCCGGCUGCUUCUCGCUCUAGCGCCUGUACUGGCCUGAAGGCUGGAUCCACCCUGGAAUUCUCUCCAUUCAGGCUGGAUCUGUUCUGUUUGACUGCUAUUUAUAGAGCCAUAGUGGAUUAAUAAUUAUUUAUUGAGUGCCUGUUCCAUGCUAGUCAUUAGGCUGGGUGCUUCACCAACAUUUAAUCCUCACAAAAACCCUGUGAGGUUGCACCUAUCAUCUCUAUUUUGCCCACGAGCAA